rnacentral:lncRNA from 1 species
UUUUUUUUUUCAUUGGUUAUAAAACUGGCUAAUAUUGAAUUAAGAACCUUGAGCCUUGGGUCCUGGGGCUCGAGGUAGAACGGUGGAUGGAAAUUCUAACACCUCUAUGAGAACUCCCUUAAGUUACCCCCAAUGUCUCAAGUCCCUGAGCAGAGAUGCUGUGCGUGAACCAGAAGGGCGCAGAGCCGCUUAACACUUCAUUGGCACCGGUGCUCCAGGAAAGAAGCAUCCUCUUCAAGGAACGUAUCUAUUAAAACCACACUGCUCAGGUUGGAUUUAUUUAAUAUUCAAUACAAAAAAAUAUGCAGCCGAUUUCUGAAGUUCUACUUUAUGACGCAGAGGAUCAGCGCUGAUGUGAUUUCCAUUAACCCCCCUCUGCCACUCCCUCGGUACUCACACACGCACGCACACAAUGUUGCAGUGAAAGUAUUUGCACACGCAUCUUCCCAGAGAAUUUCUUCCACGGGGUACGGAUACCCUCAACCCUCCUUCUUCCUUUGCUUCAUCUGCUGGCAGAGUCGCUUCUUGUUCUAUCACCGAUGCUCUCAGGCUUUGAGUUAGCUAGGAAAGGAUUUGUGUUUGACUGUUGCCAUCUGAAGCCCAACUCGUGCCCUAAGGUGGUUUUUCUGGGAGGUAAGGAGUCCAGAACAGGAACUCCAUGAUUUCAAGUCUUUGUAACUGAUUACAGCGUACUGAUUGAACAAAAGAAAAGACUCGUGACUUCUACAGGGGAAGAAUGCAGACAGGAGCCAUCAUCAGGUCCAGACAGGGGGCUUCCCCCCCCCCCCCACAGUAUGAACAGGUCAAUGUCCCGAAAUAUAACCAAAAAUAAAAACAGAACCAAAAAAAAAACCCAAAAAUGCCCUGACCCAACAAAUCAACAGUUCAAUAUAUCAUAAUGUCAAGGUCUUCCCACAUGAUACAAAUCCAACGCGGCUUCAGCAAAUUAGAUUUUUCCAGAAAGCGGAGGCAGGGCUCCCGGCAUGCCCCCAGAUAGCCCUGUGUUGGGUCCUAAGAGAAUCUGUCGCUGCUGCAGCUGCUGCUGUUGCUCCAUCUGCAGCUUUUCGGUUUCAAACACGACGGGAAGAACUAAAAUCAUGAAAGAGGUGGUCCCAAUCCACAGUGCUGCCCUGGAGAAUCUGUACAUCUUCUGCGCUAUCGCCAGCGACAGGUCGAAGGUGGCUCCGGCCGCCGAGCGCACGCUCUCGGGGAACAUCUCGGUCAGCCCCCACAGCCGCUCCGCCAGCGUCUCGUCCAGCUCGUCGUCGUCGUCGUCCUCCAGCUCGUCCUCCAGAUCCUCGGCCUUGCCCGCGCCGCCCUUGGGCAGCAGCUCCUCCGGGGACAGGGACGCAGGGGCAGCCAUCACCACCACCGCCACCACCACCAGGGACGGAGCGGGCAGCG